ACUUCUAACAGUAUCUCUCAAGACCGAUCAUCGGCGGCCUAGCAACAGUGUCUUGCUAAGCUGGGAAACAUGGUUUGGUGAGAAGGUCUCUAACUUCUGUCAAGACUCAGUUCUGCCACUCUCCACAAUGACUCUGGGCAAGGCUUCACUUCUCCUGAUGGAGCAAAAGGAGUACCAGGAGAUAAACGGUGAUUCCAGACUGGAUCUCAGACAACACUGGAAGCAUCUCCAGGCUUUCAGAACACCAGACUAAUCCAUAUGAAUGGAAAGGACAGUUCAUUUGUCCUUUCCUGUGACCCUCAUUCUGUCCCAGAUGGACCACGCUAAAGAGGAUGUGGAGUAUGAAGUCUGUCUGAAUAUGUGAAAGGACUGACACCAGGGUUGUUGUCAAGCUGUGGGGCCUUUGUUGAGCCAGAGAUACGGCUUGAAGGGAGAAAAUGAAACAUAGGUUGUGGCUCAGUUCUCAGCUAAGUACCCAGUUGAGUAGAGUAAGUGAGCUGCCUACGCAAGUCAGCCAGAGGAAGACACAGAUGUCAGGGAAGAAGCAGGGCGUGGCUCCACCUAAAUGAGGAGGGGGAGCUCUAUGCCUGACUGGGAGACCCUGUGGGUACUGGUGAUGACCAGCCCACACUCAGCCCUGAGCCAUAAAGACACAAAAGAAACCCCAAAGGAAGGAACGAACUGACUUGUCAAUCAUUCCCUACAGAUUUAUUGAAGCAGGUCUGCCCAGCCUCUGCCUGCCUGCAGGAACUUAGAGACACACUAGCACUCUAUGGACGAGCAAAGACCAAAGUCAGGAGCAGAUCUUCAUCAAAUGGUGAGGAUUCCAUCUCAUCAGCCAGAGCAGUCAUCAACAAAGCCAAGGACAGCUCUCACAAGUUGUCCUUGAACCUCCACACACGGGCAUAUAUAUGACUAAAUUUAAUUUGUUAAAGCCAAUUUUUUUUAAAUUAAAAAAAAAACAAGCAACA
rnacentral:lncRNA from 1 species